rnacentral:rRNA from 1 species
CCUACGGGUGGCAGCAGUGAGGAAUAUUGGUCAAUGGGCGGAAGCCUGAACCAGCCAAGUCGCGUGAGGGAAUAAGGCCCUACGGGUCGUAAACCUCUUUUGCCGGGGAGCAAGGGCGGGGACGUGUCCCGGCCCGGAGAGUACCCGGAGAAAAAGCAUCGGCUAACUCCGUGCCAGCAGCCGCGGUAAUACGGAGGAUGCGAGCGUUAUCCGGAUUUAUUGGGUUUAAAGGGUGCGUAGGCGGGCUUUUAAGUCAGCGGUAAAAAUUCGGGGCUCAACCCCGUCCGGCCGUUGAAACUGGCAGUCUUGAGUACAGUAGAGGUGGGCGGAAUUCGUGGUGUAGCGGUGAAAUGCUUAGAUAUCACGAAGAACUCCGAUUGCGAAGGCAGCUCACUGGACUGCAACUGACACUGAGGCUCGAAAGUGUGGGUAUCAAACAGGAUUAGAUACCCCAGUAGUC